rnacentral:rRNA from 1 species
UACGGAGGAUGCGAGCGUUAUCCGGAUUUAUUGGGUUUAAAGGGUGCGCAGGCGGAUUUUUAAGUCAGCGGUAAAAAUGCGGUGCUCAACGCCGUCGAGCCGUUGAAACUGGCGUUCUUGAGUGGGCGAGAAGUAUGCGGAAUGCGUGGUGUAGCGGUGAAAUGCAUAGAUAUCACGCAGAACUCCGAUUGCGAAGGCAGCAUACCGGCGCCCUACUGACGCUGAGGCACGAAAGCGUGGGUAUCGAACAGG